CACGUGGUCCACUGGCCGUCGCGGGAUUGUCCGGAUCGGGCUGCUGCGGCAGCCGGCGGGGUAGCGAGGUGGAGCAGUGUGGGAAGCCCCAAGCCCGUACCUCUGGGACUGAACGGCGGCGGGUGGGCUGCGGUCAGCCUCUGCAGGCCUGGGCAGGCCUCCUGAGAGUCUAGGGCGUAAGAGUUUUGGGGGUUCCCAAAGUGGGCUGCGGACCCCCUGCCUGAGGCUUUGGUUUGAGCCCUGGAUCCGGCCUUGUGUUUCCCCGGAAGGAUGGCGUCUCAGUCUUUCCUGAAGUUGGGUGCCAUGCAGAAUGCCAUGAGUUACAAGUUGGAGGACGGAGGGCUUAGAGAUGCUUGAGGGACGUCCUUAACCUACGUGAAAUGUUGGAGGUUGAGGUGAAAAAUAUGGCUUUGAUAUCUUCAUGGAAAACUGCAUUAGUUCAGUCCUGAAUCUGGUUCGGUUCCCUUAUUGACUCAUUACUAUAUUAAAAAUGUUUAUUUAGCAGUGAUUGUAAAAUGAAAGUAAUUAACAUGUACAUGUGUUUUGGGGGGAGACUAAGGGGAAACACGUGUUCAGCCUAGAAAAACAUUUCUCAUUGGAUUUCCUGUGAAGUCAGUGUGUCUUGGGUUUAACUUUGAAACAAAUUAAAAAAUUUUUAAAUUAAAAAAAAAGUUUACUUAACUAUGGUAUUUGUUCUGGUAAAACCUUGUGGUUUAAUAAGAAUUUUUGCAAAUAUCCAUUAUACUCUUCUCAUGGUACAUAAAGUGUUAAUAUUUUAAAAUCUAUAGGAUAUUCUAUUUCAAAAUUUAGUUCUAUUAUCUUAGUGCUAUCAGAAAAUGUGCUUUGAAUUGCUGAAAUGAGUUGUAUUGGACAACACCUGUCUCAGCAGAGGCACUUAAAAAUCACUUUCAUCCUUCC